UCUCCUGCGGCAGAACCGCCCCUCUCAGCUGUGUAGCGCACCUGACGUGAACCUUUUAAUAUGGCACCUGCGGGGGUCACCGGCAUCGCCUUGCUCAGGGAAUUGUUUGGGUGUUCAUGUUGCUACUCGCGUUCGCCCUGUGAUUGUUAGCUUUCACAAGCAGGUUGUUUGCUUCCUUCACGGAGUUUUCCCGUGCAGUCACGUCUACCUGCGCAACGGCAGGCAACUGUCCAGCUCUUUAUCCUCCACUGCCACACUGGACUCGGGAACCUUUUUUCCGGCCUCGCUUAAGUCCGUUCUGGUGCAGCGCGUUCAAUCACUGUUUUUCCCCUACUAUAAAAAAAGCCACUGAAGGCGUCACAGCGUACCCCAAGGUCACUAUUUUGUUUCAAUGUGCAAACUGUGUUGCCUCUGCUAUUAUAAGGUCGUACUGUCCCAUUCUCUCUGUGUCAGAGGCACUGUUCGCCGGUUGUAGCGUAUAGGCCUGGCCCUUCUUGAACCCCCCCCCUCCCCUCCAUUUAAUGUGCUCAGCGUCAGAGUGCCCAUUGUGGGGUGUAUCACCAGGUUGUGCUAAGACAUCUUACUUGUUCCAGUAGUGUGCCCUAUAGUGGGGUGUAUCACCAUAGCGUGCUAAGACACCUUAAUUGUUCGUCCGUUAGGUGACGCUGACUCCCCCAUCAGACCCCCUCCCCCC